rnacentral:rRNA from 1 species
UACGUAGGGGGCAAGCGUUGUCCGGAAUUAUUGGGCGUAAAGGGCUCGUAGGCGGUCCAUCGCGUCGGGAGUGAAAAGCUGGGGCUCAACCCCAGUCCUGCUUCCGAUACGGGUGGACUAGAGGUAGGCAGGGGAGAACGGAAUUCCUGGUGUAGCGGUGAAAUGCGCAGAUAUCAGGAGGAACACCGGUGGCGAAGGCAGCUCGCUGGGACGGUACUGACGCUGAGACGCGAAAGCGUGGGGAGCAAACAGG